UCUUUAACUCAUAUAAACUUUUCAGUAGGGUUCAAACUGUUAAGAGUUUUAUGAUUUUGCAAAAGCUUUUAGUAGCAGUAACUUGGUCUAUUUGCAGUUGCAUUAUUACACUAUACAAAGCUAGCAGCAGCUUAACCCCAUUCACAAAUACAUAUUUACUUCGUCCUUGGUGUCUACGCUUAUUGCUGUCACUUCUCCUUUGUACUCUUCCUCCUUUUUGACGAAAUUACAGUCUGCCCUCAGUCUUCGACUUUCUUUUGCAGUUACACCCCUGUGCUCUCACAGAGGGAAGCUCAUGGCUGACACUGUCGCUUAGGUUUGCUUUCUGCUGGACGUUAAACGUUUUUGUUCAAUGAUUAUAUAUAGCUUCAGAUGAGGAGACUAAAGAAUGAGUUUUGGAUCCUAAUAAUGGCUGCUCUUUCCUUGGAAUGGGAAGUGCUUUCGAUUCUUCUUCGUUUUCUUUUCUUUUUGGAAGGCAUGAGUCUGAAGUUUGAUCACUGAGUUUAACAAACAAAUAUAUCGAGAUAUAAAAAUUGAAUUUAAAUUUGUAAAUGAAUUAUCUUUUUUUUUUGAGAUUUGUGUUCGCAUGCUAAAACAAAGUAUAGUAAUGAUUGUUAGUUUGCUUGGACGAGAUGGAAUCCAAAUUUAUGGGACUAGAGGAGAAGUAAAAAACAUUUUUUGGCCCUUUAUGGAUCCUACAAAUGGUUAGGAGGCCAAGUCUCCUGACUGGUCCAAGGGCUAGGAGGUCAACCUUGAGCAACCUGCCAAGAGGAUUUUACCGACAUGGGAAUGAAAAUUCAAUCAACCAGCAUUGAUUCUACCUAAUGUUAGGUUAUGCCACUGGAUCUCUUAUUCAUAGUGGAAAAAUUGAGUUCGUAUCAUUGAGGCAAGGAGGAUAGGGGUUGAAGUUUAAGAGAUGUGUGAGAUAGAUUUCAAGCUUAUUCAGUUGAAGAUGGAGACAACAAUGGAAUUCAGGAUGCCGAGGAGAAGAAGCCUGGCAUUAUUACAUCUUUAUUUUUAAACAAUAUAAGGAUCUUGAACCCGAAGAAGACAACAAAUGACAGGUAGCUAUGUACUGGUGAACUAUAAGCAUCUGUAUUUCAUUACAAAAUCAGGUGAAAUACAGGUGUUUUUAUAUGCAAAAAAGUCAGGUACAGAGUGGUGCUGAAAGUUUUCCUCAUUAUGCUCCUAUGCCCAGUUGGUCGGGUGUAUAUGACAUGCAAUGAGCACAGGGACACAGAUAGGUUAGUUUAUCCAUGAUGCUGAGCAAUGUCUUGAAUGGUAUCUGGGUUGUCACGUUUUAGAUGCUUAGAUCUGUGAUUGAAGUGUUAUCUGUAGUUUUUCUUUUUGGAAUUCAUAAUGUUUGCAACUAUAAAAAAUAAUAUUCUUUUAUACC